rnacentral:rRNA from 1 species
CAGUAGCCACGGUAAUACGAAGGGUGCAAGCGUCAAUCGGAAUUACUGGGCGUAAAGCGUGCGUAGGCGGUGAGUUAAGUCUGUUGUGAAAUCCCCGGGCUCAACCUGGGAAUGGCAAUGGAUACUGGCAAGCUAGAGUGUGUCAGAGGAUGGUGGAAUUCCCGGUGUAGCGGUGAAAUGCGUAGAGAUCGGGAGGAACAUCAGUGGCGAAGGCGGCCAUCUGGGACAACACUGACGCUGAGGCACGAAAGCGUGGGGAGCAAACAGGAUUAGAUACCCCAGUAGUCCCUGUCUCUUAUAC